rnacentral:rRNA from 1 species
AUUAUUGGGCGUAAAGGGCUCGUAGGCGGUUUGUCGCGUCGGGAGUGAAAACCAGGUGCUUAACACCUGGCUUGCUUUCGAUACGGGCAGACUAGAGGUAUUCAGGGGAGAACGGAAUUCCUGGUGUAGCGGUGAAAUGCGCAGAUAUCAGGAGGAACACCGGUGGCGAAGGCGGUUCUCUGGGAAUGACCUGACGCUGAGGAGCGAAAGUGUGGGGAGCGAACAGGAUUAGAUACCCUGGUAGUCCACACCGUAAACGUUGGGCGCUAGGUGUGGGGUCCAUUCCACGGAUUCCGUGCCGCAGCUAACGCAUUAAGCGCCCCGCCUGGGGAGUACGGCCGCAAGGCUAAAACUCAAAGGAAUUGACGGGGGCCCGCACAAGCGGCGGAGCAUGCGGAUUAAUUCGAUGCAACGCGAAGAACCUUACCUGGGUUUGACAUACACCCUGCCGCUCCAGAGAUGGGGCUUCUUUUGGGGGUGUACAGGUGGUGCAUGGCUGUCGUCAGCUCGUGUCGUGAGAUGUUGGGUUAAGUCCCGCAACGAGCGCAACCCUCGUUCUAUGUUGCCAGCACGUAAUGGUGGGGACUCAUAGGAGACUGCCGGGGUCAACUCGGAGGAAGGUGGGGAUGACGUCAAGUCAUCAUGCCCCUUAUGUCCAGGGCUUCACGCAUGCUACAAUGGCCGGUACAAAGGGCUGCGAUCCCGUAAGGGGGAGCGAAUCCCAAAAAGCCGGUCUCAGUUCGGAUUGGGGUCUGCAACUCGACCCCAUGAAGUCGGAGUCGCUAGUAAUCGCAGAUCAGCAACGCUGCGGUGAAUACGUUCCCGGGCCUUGUACACACCGCCCGUCACGUCACGAAAGUCGGCAACACCCGAAGCCGGUGGCCCAACCCUUGUGGAGGGAGCCGUCGAAGGUGGGGCUGGA